AUUGAACGCUGGCGGCAUGCCUUACACAUGCAAGUCGAACGGCAGCACGGGAGCAAUCCUGGUGGCGAGUGGCGAACGGGUGAGUAAUAUAUCGGAACGUGCCCAGUAGUGGGGGAUAGCCCGGCGAAAGCCGGAUUAAUACCGCAUGAGACCUGAGGGUGAAAGCGGGGGAUCGCAAGACCUCGCGCUAUUGGAGCGGCCGAUAUCAGAUUAGCUAGUUGGUGUGGUAAAGGCCUACCAAGGCAACGAUCUGUAGUUGGUCUGAGAGGACGACCAGCCACACUGGGACUGAGACACGGACCAGACUCCUACGGGAGGCAGCAAUGGGGAAUUUUGGACAAUGGGCGCAAGCCUGAUCCAGCAAUGCCGCGUGCAGGAAGAAGGCCUUCGGGUUGUAAACUGCUUUUGUCAGGGAAGAAAUCCCUUGGGAUAAUACCUCGGGGGGAUGACGGUACCUGAAGAAUAAGUACCGGCUAACUACGUGCCAGCAGCCGCCGUAACAC
rnacentral:rRNA from 1 species